rnacentral:rRNA from 1 species
ACGCUCGACACCUACGGGGGCAGCAGUAGGGAAUCUUCCACAAUGGACGCAAGUCUGAUGGAGCAACGCCGCGUGAGUGAAGAAGGUUUUCGGAUCGUAAAGCUCUGUUGUUGGUGAAGAAGGAUAGAGGUAGUAACUGGCCUUUAUUUGACGGUAAUCAACCAGAAAGUCACGGCUAACUACGUGCCAGUAGCCGCGGUAAUCUGAGCGGGCUGGCAAGGC